rnacentral:misc_RNA from 1 species
UAGAAGAACGUUCUGUCAAUCACGGAGAUGGACAUGCAUAACAUUUUGAAGAUAGUAUUGAUUGUGGCAUUAUUCCUAGUGGUGCACCCAAGUGGAUCAAGAAGCCAAUGGGUGACUAACCAACCUAGUCCUCUCUGUCCUUCUCAAUUUGCACUUGUGAAUCAUGCAUGUUCGUUGCUUCCAUUUAAUCCGGUGUCUCCACCAUCUCCACCAUCCCCUUUUCUGCUAGUUUCCCCACCACCUCCUCCCGGCUCUUCAGAA